UUUGAUGGCUUAAGGCAAAAGAAGUAAGUAAAUCUUAUACUCCUUACUAGUUUUCGAACUGUAAAUAGAUCAUGUACUCUUUAUGAUCAUGUCUUUCGUACAUAAAAUUUGCUUGUGGAAAUAUCAUGUUUUUCUUAGAAUUAUGGAUCAGCAUGUGUGCUAUGAAAAUCAUGCUCUAUUAUGAAAAAGAGUUUCAUGAAUAUUGUUGAUGAAAAUAGCUCUAUAAUAAAUCAGAUCAUGCCAUUUAGUAUUUUUCACCUAUUUAUAUUUAUAUGUAUGUUUUAAAAAAAAGAUAUAAGUUUUCUAAAGGCUCUAUGACCGUCUCUAGAAAUGGAGGCCAAUCGACACUCUAGAACUAAAAUCCAAUGAAAACGAUCAUCUGCAAA
rnacentral:lncRNA from 1 species